rnacentral:misc_RNA from 1 species
GAAAUGCGAUAAGUAAUGUGAAUUGCAGAAUUCAGUGAAUCAUCGAAUCUUUGAACGCACCUUGCGCUCCUUGGUAUUCCUUGGAGCAUGCCUGUUUGCGUACCAUGAAAUCUUCAAAGUAAAUCUUUUGUUAACUCAAUUGGUUUCUACUUUGGUAUUGGAGGUCUUUGCAGCUUCACACCUGCUCCUCUUUGUUCAUUAGCUGGAUCUCAGUGUUAUGCUUGGUUCCACUCGGCGUGAUAAGUUAUCUAUCGCUGAGGACACUGUAAAAGGUGGCCAAGGUAAAUGCAGAUGAACCGCUUCUAAUAGUCCAUUGACUUGGACAAUACUUUUAUGAUCUGAUCUCAAAUCAGGUAGGACUACCCGCUGAACUUAAGC